rnacentral:rRNA from 1 species
UUCUCCGACCACACCGACCUCCCCCAAGUCCGCUUGAACGCGGCCACUACCCAGGGAGGGUGCGAGGCCCGUACGGGGAUUAAGAGUCGGGCGGUCGGACGGUCCCGUCCGUAGAGUCGGGUUGCCUAGUAACGCAGCCCAAAGUAGGUGGUAAACUCCAUCUAAGGCUAAAUACGACCACGAGACCGAUAGCGAACAAGUACCGUGAGGGAAAGUUGAAAAGAACUUUGAAGAGAGAGUUCAAAAGUGCGUGAAACCGUUAAGAGGAAAACGGGUGGAACCUCGAAGGUCGAACGGAGGGAUUCAGUUCGGCGGCGUCGGAGGGCCCGGGGCGGUGCGACCCUUUACCGGGCGCCCUCCCGAGUCCGACCGGCGCGGACGGGCGUAUUUCCCUCUCUAGUAGGACGCCGCGACCCGUUGCGGGGUUGCCGAAGGCCCGGGCGGGCGGAACCAUCGCCCUGCGAUGGGGACCCCCCGGUGUCCUGGCCGACCCUGCGACGGUGCUACUCGCAAGUGCCCGCUCUCCGAGCGCCCCCUUUUGCUGGGGCCGUGGCGCUUUUCUGCGGCGUGUAGGUCGGUGAUCCACCCGGCCCGUCUUGAAACACGGACCAAGGAGUCUAACAUGUGUGCGAGUCAUUGGGCGAACUAAACCCAAAGGCGAAAUGAAAGUGAAGGGCCCCCCGCACGACCCGCUCGCGGGAAGUCGGGGGCCCGAGGGCUGAUCCGGCCGUUUCGGCGGCCGGCGCAAGCUCGGGACUUGCACGCCCCAUCGUGGGCGGUGAGUACCAAGAGCAGACAUGCUGGGACCCGAAAGAUGGUGAACUAUGCCUGGCCAGGACGAAGCCAGAGGAAACUCUGGUGGAGGUCCGUAGCGAUUCUGACGUGCAAAUCGAUCGUCGGAGCUGGGUAUAGGGGCGAAAGACUAAUCGAACCAUCUAGUAGCUGGUUCCCUCCGAAGUUUCCCUCAGGAUAGCUGGUGCUCGCUACAGAGUUUCAUCCGGUAAAGCGAAUGAUUAGAGGUCUUGGGGACGAAACGUCCUCAACCUAUUCUCAAACUUUAAAUGGGUGAGAGGUCGGGCUUGCUUGACUGAAGCCCCGACAGUGAAUCUGGAGUACCUAGUGGGCCAUUUUUGGUAAGCAGAACUGGCGCUGUGGGAUGAACCAAACGUCGAGUUAAGGGGCCUAAAUGGACGCUCAUCAGAUCCCAUGAAAGGUGUUGGUUGCUAUAGACAGCAGGACGGUGGCCAUGGAAGUCGGAAUCCGCUAAGGAGUGUGUAACAACUCACCUGCCGAAGCAACUAGCCCUGAAAAUGGAUGGCGCUCAAGCGUCCUCCCGAUACUCGACCGUCGGGGCAGUACUUGGCCGUCACGGCAAGGUCUCGAAGCCCCGACGAGUAGGAGGGUCGCAGCGGUGAGCGUAGAAGGAGUCCGGCGCGAGCCGGUCUGGAGCCGCCGCUGGUGCAGAUCUUGGUGGUAGUAGCAAAUACUCGAGCGAGACCCUUGAGGGCUGACAGUGGAGAAGGGUUCCAUGUGAACAUCAGUUGAACAUGGUGCAGUCGAUCCUAAGCCCAAGGAGAAGUCCGCCUUCCACAGUACCGCCCAGCCAAAGACGAAGCGUACUGUAACGGCGCCGGCGCGGGCAGGCAGCCCGCGCGCUAGAAGGCGCCGGUCAGCAGGCAGCUCGAGCGGGAGGGGCGGGAGCUAUCUAGCUCCCCUCCUCGCGAUCGCUGUGUGCUUGAGGUCGAUGAGAGGCCGGAAGGUUUUGGGCGAAAGGGAAUCCGGUUCUUAUUCCGGAACCUCCACCCGGAGACGGUGUCGCCCCUCGCCGUUAAAAGAUGGUACUCCUGGUGACAGGAGGAAGCCCGCUGCUGCCGGCCGCAGUCCAGGGAAGCGUUUUCUUUUCUGCUUAAGAGGUCUU